rnacentral:rRNA from 1 species
CGGGUAAAUCAUUCCUGUGGUGCGAAAACCGUGUGGAGACCAACAAGGAUUACAUAUCCCUGGUUAUACACCCCGUAAACGAUGUGUGAUUAGUGUCAGGGUGUUUCCCCUCUUUUGUGUCGCAGGUAACGCAUUAAGCAUUUCGCCCGGGGAGUACGGUCGCAAGGCUGAAACUCAAAGGAAUUGAGGGGGGGGCGCACAAGCGGUGGAGCAUGUGGUUUAAUUUGAAGCAACGCGAAGAACCUUUCCAGGUUUUGACAUCCUCUGACAAUCCUAGAGAUAGGGCGUCCCCUUCGGGGGCAGAGUGACAGGUGGUGCAUGGUUGUCGUCAGCUCGUGUUGUGAGAUGUUGGGUUAAGUCCCGCAACGGGGGCAACCCUUGUUCUUAGUUGCCAGCAUUCAGUUGGGCACUUUAAGGUGACUGCCGGUGACAAACCGGAGGAAGGUGGGGAUGACGUCAAAUCAUCAUGCCCCUUAUGACCUGGGCUACACACGUGCUACAAUGGACAGAACAAAGGGCAGCGAAACCGCGAGGUUAAGCCAAUCCCACAAAUCUGUUCUCAGUUCGGAUCGCAGUUUGCAACUUGGCUGCGUGAAGCUGGAAUCGCUAUUAAUCGCGGAUCCGCAUGCCGCGGUGAAUACGUUUCCGGGCCUUGUACACACCGCCCGUCACACCACGAGAGUUUGUAACACCCGAAGUCGGUGAGGUAACCUUUAUGGAGCCACGCCGCCGCAAGGUGGGACUACGAUGAUUGGGGUGAAGUU